UCGGUUUUAUGUUUGUGGAUUACUAUUAUGAGACGGCGGAAUAUUUUACUGUACAGCCCCAGUGGUUUUGUCGCUUUGACUAAACUCUUAAUACAGUUUCCAGUGCUCUUCAGAAUUCAUCUUUUAUGAAAAAGUCUCUGUAGUAUUACAACUCUCUCAAUCUCACUCGAACUGAAUAGUUUAUGGAUGUUUGUGAUUAUAAUUCUCUAAAUUGUACUCGUCUUAGUGAUUGUUUAGUUAGUAGGCUGAACAGUUGCAUCCUGUGGUACAGUUGACGUUACUUUCUGAAGUUGACGUGAAACACUGGAGGCAGAGCUGCUGUUGUAAAUAAUAAACACAGAGACCCGAAGGAAACCAACGGGAUGGAAAAUGGUAUUCAUCCUGCGAAGACAGAGUGUCGGGCAUCUUACGUUUCCUGUAGCUCCAUAAUGACUCCCAUCCACUUGAGGAGAGAGGUGGGUCGCCUCUGCCUGUCCUGCCGUGAGAUGGUCGCCUGUGGUUUGGCUGCUCGUUGUCUGUGAGUGAGGCAGAUGAAAAGCAGAGAGAGGAAGACAAAGUUUCACCGUUGGAGAAGUGGAUGACCCUCCUCUGUUUAGAGACGGCAGGACCUCCAAACUCUGUCUCCUGGAUGUCUGCUGACGUCUGACAGAUUACACAGGUACUCCAAGUCUUUUCGAUACAACACCGUCAGGUCUUUCUCAUGUCACAGCUGUACCUUAUGUCCAUCCCCACUGGCCCUGCUAUGUGGAGGAAACAACUACAGGAUACA